ACAUGCAGAGCCUGGACGUGAUGAAGAAUGGCUGGAACCAGACCCUGAGCCUGAGGAGGAGCAUCAGAGGCCGGAGCAUGAUGGUGAAGGUCAGGAGCUUGAACCAGUGCUUGAUGAAGACCCUCCCACACCUGAACUGGAAUCCGAGUCAGAAUUGGAAUCCGAGCCUGAAUCUGACCCAGGGUCAGCCCCCACCCCCCGUAGAAGCCAGAGGUCAAAUGCAGGCCAACAUCCCAAUCUCCAUCAAGAGCCAAAGUCAGUGCUAGACUCUAGUCCAGCUGCAGUCUCUCAGAUGAUCGCUACUUUAGGCACAGCAUUCAUUAAGGAGGUUGCAAGAGAAGUUAUAAAACUAUUAGUAGUCACCGAGGCCGUUGACUAUUAAGCAGGGGAGAAUGUAACCGGGUCAUAUUUUGAGGUUGUUGUAUGUUUUCUAAGUGGUAAUGGGACAUGUCUCCUUUAAAUGCCAGAAAACUACAUUGCAUCAUGUUGUAGUUCCUGGGUUGGUAUGUGGUGAAUUCUGGGUAUUAAGACUGGGGCGAGAACGCAGUGCAUCAGAGAAGGUGGCUGGCGUGAGGGAUAUUUGGUGAUACUUGGUUAAUAUUGCUGGUAAGUGGGACAUUUGUCUUAAAAUACUUUAAUAACCAUGCAAUUGUAUAUAUCAUUGAUUUAUAUGAAUGGAUGAGUUCGUUUGGGAAAGAAUGUUUGUGGAUUCUGGCAGCAUGUGGAUUAGCCCAGUCGCUCUGUCAUUUGGGGAUGUAGCUAAAUUUAAGUUUACAUUUGUGAAAUACAAUUCCGUUUUGGCUAUAGAGUGAAGAGUAUGAGGUGAUGUAGUUAGUGUAGAUGUAUUUUGUAGGAAAUUAAGUUGCAUACAGGCUGUAUUAAAGUGAAUUGUCAUGUUUCACCUAGCAGACAUAUAGCCAUAGUGGUAUCCUGGGAGCACACGUGUGUGGAGGAUAGAGAUGUGUGCGUGUUAGGAACAUUAUCACCACUACCGUUUUGUAUUGCUGAACCUUACUUUCAUUUAUUUUCUUAUACGGCUAGUUGAGCUACAGAGUUGGGAUAGGCUUAGCUUGUGUACAGGUUAGUUUAUCAUAUAAGAUUUCUAUUUGAUGUCAUUUUAUUUUUGUACUUUUCUAUACAAAUCUUUUGUUUUAUAUAUCUAUCAGAUAAAGAACCCUUACUCUUAA